GACGAACGCUGGCGGCGUGCCUAAUACAUGCAAGUUGAGCGCUGAAGGUUGGUACUUGUACCAACUGGAUGAGCAGCGAACGGGUGAGUAACGCGUGGGGAAUCUGCCUUUGAGCGGGGGACAACAUUUGGAAACGAAUGCUAAUACCGCAUAAAAACUUUAAACACAAGUUUUAAGUUUGAAAGAUGCAAUUGCAUCACUCAAAGAUGAUCCCGCGUUGUAUUAGCUAGUUGGUGAGGUAAAGGCUCACCAAGGCGAUGAUACAUAGCCGACCUGAGAGGGUGAUCGGCCACAUUGGGACUGGGACACGGCCCCAACUCCUACGGGAGGCAGCAGUAGGGAAUCUUCGGCAAUGGACGAAAGUCUGACCGAGCAACGCCGCGUGAGUGAAGAAGGUUUUCGGAUCGUAAAACUCUGUUGGUAGAGAAGAACGUUGGUGAGAGUGGAAAGCUCAUCAAGUGACGGUAACUACCCAGAAAGGGACGGCUAACUACGUG
rnacentral:rRNA from 1 species